UUUACAUGACAACUCAGCUCGUCUUUUGGUUUUGCUUUGGGUUUUGUUUCAUUUCAUUUUAUUUGUUACAUGUUUUUCUUUUGAAUUUAUUUUUCUGUAGAUUGGCUGGAUCUUGAAUAUGAGUAUCGAAUGACUUGAUCUUUUAACUAUGGCUGGUUCUUGAUUUUUUUUACUAUAACUUGGCUGGGGAUGGUUUUGUGACUGUAACAUGAUUUUGAUUGUUGAAUUGACAACUAUGAUACAAUAUAACUGGGACUACUGAUACACUUGUGGACGCAAGAAUAGCUGGCAUCAACGUUAUCUUUGGAAGGCAAGGGGAGUCCUACGAUUCUGUUUGUAAGUCAAAUGCUCAUUGAUGUUGUUCCAAACAAACUGAGUGCUUACUGUGCAAAAUGCUAUGGAAGAAAAAAAAAGUUAAGAAAGAACCAUGACCAACUGCAUACACUAAAAAAUGCAGGGCUUUGAAUCUUCAAUCCAUCUUAAUGCACUCAUGACCAUAAAGCAUUGGUGGCUGUUAUAUCUGUAAAGUUCUGUAGCUCUACUAGCUGAUCGAAAUAGUACAAUAUCGUGUUACUGGAGCAGCUUCUUACGGUGUCUACUUUUCUUCAUAUGAAGUGCUUUUUUAGCAUAGGAUGAUUAUGUGGUGGAUCUUCUUGGGAUUGCAAAGUUAUGAUUCCCAUCAUUUAUAUUUUUUCAUUAAUUGGUGUUUUGAAACUAUUCACCAUUUUGGGUGAUUAUAUGGACUGUUGUCGCCUGCGAUGUAACAUAUUAUUCCACUGAUGGCGAAUGUUUAAUCUAUAAUUUCAAUAUUUAAUUUUGAUUAAAUUUUUAAUUCAAAUGUUAAGACUCAUGCCAUUAAUCAUGGGUCA